UACGUACCGUCCAAACGUUAUUCGGAAUCACUGGGCUUAAAGAGUUCGUAGGCGGCCCAGAAAGUUGGGUGUGAAAUCCCUCGGCUUAACCGAGGAAUUGCGCUCAAAACUACUGGGCUAGAGGGAGAUAGAGGUGAGCGGAACUGAUGGUGGAGCGGUGAAAUGCGUUGAUAUCAUCAGGAACACCGGAGGCGAAGGCGGCUCACUGGGUCUCUCCUGACGCUGAGGAACGAAAGCUAGGGGAGCGAACGGG
rnacentral:rRNA from 1 species